GUGCCUUCGGGAACUGUGAGACAGGUGCUGCAUGGCUGUCGUCAGCUCGUGUUGUGAAAUGUUGGGUUAAGUCCCGCAACGAGCGCAACCCUUAUCCUUUGUUGCCAGCGGUCCGGCCGGGAACUCAAAGGAGACUGCCAGUGAUAAACUGGAGGAAGGUGGGGAUGACGUCAAGUCAUCAUGGCCCUUACGACCAGGGCUACACACGUGCUACAAUGGCGCAUACAAAGAGAAGCGACCUCGCGAGAGCAAGCGGACCUCAUAAAGUGCGUCGUAGUCCGGAUUGGAGUCUGCAACUCGACUCCAUGAAGUCGGAAUCGCUAGUAAUCGUGGAUCAGAAUGCCACGGUGAAUACGUUCCCGGGCCUUGUACACACCGCCCGUCACACCAUGGGAGUGGGUUGCAAAAGAAGUAGGUAGCUUAACCUUCGGGAGGGCGCUUACCACUUUGUGAUUCAUGACUGGGGUGAAGUCGUAACAAGGUAACCGUAGGGGAACCUGC
rnacentral:rRNA from 2 species